UAGUAACGGCGAGUGAACCGGGAAGAGCUCAAAUUUGAAAUCUGGCGUGCUCAGUGCGUCCGAGUUGUAAUCUAUAGAGGCGUUUUCCGUGCCGGACUGUGUCUAAGUCCCUUGGAACAGGGUAUCAAAGAGGGUGAUAAUCCCGUACUUGACACAAUGACCGGUGCUCUGUGAUACGUCUUCUACGAGUCGAGUUGUUUGGGAAUGCAGCUCAAAAUGGGUGGUGAGUUCCAUCUAAAGCUAAAUAUUGGCGAGAGACCGAUAGCGAACAAGUACCGUGAGGGAAAGAUGAAAAGCACUUUGGAAAGAGAGUUAAACAGUACGUGAAAUUGUUGAAAGGGAAACGAUUGAAGUCAGUCGUGACUGAGAGGCUCAGCCGGUUCUGCCGGUGUAUUCCCCUCAGUCGGGUCAACAUCAGUUUUGUUCGGUGGAUAAGGGCAGCUGGAAGGUGGCACCUCCGGGUGUGUUAUAGCCAGCUGUCGCAUACAUCGAAUGAGACUGAGGAAUGCAGCUCGCCUUUAUGGCCGGG
rnacentral:rRNA from 1 species